AGAGUGAUGGUCCCUCGUUUCUCAUCACAACGGAACCGGAAAUUUUGCUUUAGUGAACCUGAGUGGCUUUUGGUUUAUGUUAAAACCAUCACAGUAAAGAUUGGUUCUCUUCAGUUAAUUUAUAGUAAUUGUGAUUAAAGUUUAAUUAAAAUGUCUGCUCAUAAGACAUUUAGGGUCAAAAUCAAGUUGGCCAAAAAGCAAAAGACCAACCGUCCUAUCCCUCAAUGGAUUAGAAUGAAAACUGGCAACAAGAUACGAUACAACGCUAAGAGGAGACAUUGGCGAAGAACCAAGCUUAAGCUCUAAUUGUUUUGUAUUUGCUGACAUAGAUGAGUCUUGAUUAAAUUAAUGUUUCAA